rnacentral:tRNA from 1 species
GCCCCGGUAGCUCAGUUGGAUAGAGCACCCGCCUUCUAAGCGGGUGGUCGGCGGUUCGAGUCCGCCCCGGGGUG